rnacentral:lncRNA from 1 species
CUUUUGUCGAUAAAUAGAUAUAUGGGCAUAUCUCGUGAUGUGUACAAUCAGCUAUACGGUCUGUUGUGUUUUUCCCUCUUUGUCGCUAUUCAUGUCAGAGUUUCUCUUUUUGUUUUCUUCCUGGGUUUCCCUCGUAGCUUGUGCGUCUCACGGCCCUGUGGAAGCAAGGGGGCUGGGCUAUGUGGGGAAGGCGGCAGGCCGUCUUCUCCGCCCUUCUUGCUCUUCCUCUGGAUGUGUUUCCCUCAGGUCUUCCCCUCCUUCUCGCUGAAGGGUCAGCCGGUUUCGUUCUUACAGAUUCGCAUUGCCGAGACAGAAGUUGAAGCGCCGCUCCCAAUCGCGCCUUCUCAGCGAGGGCCUCAGCCAGCGCCUCUUCACAUCUGCUCCGGCCACACGUGCGCGAACGCAAGCGCCCCCACUUCCAGUCAGGCAAAAACAAACCCCGGAAACCUCCGAAACCCCGCCGAAUUGGAUGUCUCAAAACGUUCUCUGACUAACUGUAGGUCACCAGGAACACCGCUCCACGUGAUCCCUCGCUUCUUCUAGGUUUGCAUCCUCUUGCUUUUCACAACUGCACUCGACAACUCCCCGCUUCGACGAGCUGUACUGUGGUGUCUCGCAUCUCCCACGUCACUGUCUGUCCGUCCAGCGCCUUUCCUUUUCCGCCUCCGUGCUGAUGAGGCCAAUAAGUUGUGUCGUGUCUCUCUCGGGUGUGAGAAAGGGACUCUGCUUCUUUUGCGCAUGUAAACUUCAUCUCACUUUCGUAGCUCGUCGGUUUUGUUCCGGAGUUUCUGCGCGAGGUCCUCGCAGGUCUGCUGCAGGAUCGGGGUCGGCUGCGCCUGACGAGGAAGGGAAGGACGAAACGUGGGAGGCGAAAACGCGCAUUUCUGCGACCGCGCAUGCAAGAUUCGCCGAGAAGACCCCACAAGCAGAGGAAACCCAAGAUUGCGAGAAACCCACCGUAGGCACGGCAGCGCUGGUACCGGAGGCUGCGCAAGCGUGGUUCGGUGGAAGGGACGCGAGAGAGAAGAGAGAAACAUUCGCGGCAGCAGGCGUCUCCGUGUCCCCCUUUCGUCUCACCUUCCGCAGUCCGGAGAAGUCGCCUUGAGUGCCUGAGAAGCUGCGUGGAUGGGCAGAACCAAAUUACAGAGUGAAGCGUCUGGGGAACGCAAGGCAGCACCAAACCCUCUUGCGACAAGGAACGAGAAAAAGGGAAAGCCGAAAGCGCUGGAAACAAGCAUGAGACGCCAGGCGGCGUAUGUGACGUCUCCUGAGUUCUCUGUAGGAUCCACGGCACGUCUCCGAGGUUUGCUUUAGAGAGAGACGGAGAGCAGCGACUCUCGUGUUUCAUCCCCCGCUUAGGAAAGCCUGUCCUUAUGUCUCUGGUUUCCUCUGGCUUCUGUUCUUCGCUUGUGUGCUCUCGCUCUUCAUCUAAUUUUUCGUGGCACGCGUCGAUACUUCACAUGUUUUCUUCGCUUCACUGUCGUCGCCCGCGCGAGCGGCGUUUCGCUUGUUCUUUCUUCGUCGACGGCACCAGAUGUCGCAACCCUUUUCCGCCUAUUUUCUCCCCACCUGACCCGUCCCGUGCUCGCUUCACACAUCGGCCUACCCAUGAGCGUCAACGAGGCGUCCCCUGUCGUCCGUUGGUGUCGGCGACCGGCAACCCGUCAUUGCUUCCUCCUGAGAAAAUGCGGCGCCGAGAAACGUCUUGCAAACAGAGAUCCACACAAACGGCAGAAGGGGCGGGAACGCCUCGUGCACUCGUCCUAGCGGCGAGUGUGUGAAAACGGUUGAGCGUGGAGAACGCAGGCCAGGCCGUGCCGCAGAAGGCGCUACGGACUCGCCGCGCGCCGGCAGGGACGGAAACAGCGGAACUGGCAAGACACAGAGGACGUAAACGUUUGCAGCGAAAGAAAGGCAAGGGUCCAGUGCAGCAUGCGCGCGCCUGUCUGGGGAAGAGCGAGACGCAAACGCCGCAGGUUUUGCUUUCCGGCAAGGCGUCUGCGGACACUGCCCGAAGAAACGGGGCGUGGCCCAUGGAAGAAGGAAUGCCAAACGAAGAACGCGAAACAAGCGGAGAAUGAGACAGAGGCAAAAAAGACGAAGAAGAGAAACACCACACGACACAACGAGCGGCUGCGAAAAAGCGGCAAGAUACAGCCCAGCAUUUUGAAAAUGACGCUGGAGCUCCGACGAGCUUUUUCCCACGUGGCGCGGGCGUUAGUUCCUCAUUCGCGAUCUCCAGCUUGUUUCGCGGGUCAAUCCCUGACUUCCGUACCUCCGAUCUCUGCCUCUCCGCGUCGCUUGCCCAAAACGUGGCAAGGAUGCUGAGAAAGCAGGAGACGCAGAAGUGGCCGACAAAUGGGGGGAAGGAGAUUGCGACAACGCAGGCGACAGUCCGGGCACCGUACCCGACGCAGUCGUGGGCUCGUCAGUGUCUCCACUCGAAACAAAGAUGCAGUCCCCCCUCUUCGUGUCUUCUCCAUCGCCUUCGUCUUCUUCGUCUCCACUUCCGCGUGCACGGCUUUGUUCUUGGCGCUUUCGGCUCCACGCGAGUCCUCUUCCCCCGCCUUCUGUCUGUCGCAAGAGCCCGCGGCACCUUUCCCACUGACGCUCAACGGCUUCUUGUUGCCGAGAAAGAACUUUCUUUUUUCUUGCAAACCUUUUCAUUUCCGCUGCGUGGGAGACUUUCAUCGUUUCCAACGUUUGCCUUUCCCUUUCGAGGCUCGCUUGAGACAGGAGAAAAGCCCGCGUCUGAUUCUUCAGGCCCUCGAGCAUCUCGCUUAUCUUCUUCUCUCGGCGGGAAAGCUGAAGGUCGAGCUCCUUCUUCUCCCGAUCGAACUUUUGUUUUUCUUCCUCGAGCUGGGCCUUCUGACGAGACAGCCUCUCGUCUUCCCUAGAGGAUCGCUCUUCUCUCUCCAUUUGCAUCUUCUCCUCUGCCGUCCUCUCCCUCGCCUCGUACUCCCCUCGUUCCAUUCUUUCCACUUCUCUUUCUCUUUCUUUUUCCGCUUCGCGUGGCCUCUCUUCGGCCUGCGAACUCUCGCUCUUGUCUCUCACCAGCUCCUUGCGCUCGUGUCGAAGCCGCGCGGUUUCGUGCUCGACUGCUUCCUGCUCUUUCCUCAGGCGCCGACUCCACAGCUCCAAGUCUUCGCGAGCGGCACUUACUGACAGUUCUUUUCUUCCAAGUUCUCCUUCUUCUCUCAGCAAUUCUUCUCGCUCCCUCUGGAGGUCGGCCUUCUGGCUCCUCAGGUCUUCUCUCUCCCGCUGGAUUGCCUCUCUUUCUGUGGCAAUUUGCAUCUUCUCUCUUGCGACGACGGACCUUUCGAGCAGCAACGCGUCGUUCUCUCGCCGCACGCCUUCCUUCAUGGCCAUGACGUGUCUGUACACCCUCUCUCCGCGUUGUUUCUCAUCUUCGAGAGCGCCGAAGAGCUUCUGCAUUGCCCGUGUCUGCAGCUUCAGCUUGCUUUCUUUCUGAAACAGUUUCCUCACUUUCGUCCGUAUGGCGUCAACUUUCUUCCGCAAAACCCCCGCUUGCUCCUUCAGAAGCUGCGUCGCCUUCGCUUGGUACUCCUGGACACGUCUCUGCCGUUUCCUCUCGGCUUGCAGUCUCGCUGCUUCCUUCCUCAGUUUGCCUCUCUCUAGCGCCAUCGCCCUCUCGUGCUCCCCCCAGCGUUUUUCUAUUUCGUCAACGCCUGUGCGUUUCCUGCCUUCUGCCGCUCCUGUCCCUCCUUCGCUCCAUUCCGCCUCCUCUCUUUCUUCCUCGCUCUUCCCCAAAAAUCUCCGCCGACGGUUCUCUCCUUCCAGCGGCUCUCCAAGAUCCUCGAGGGCUCGACCCCUCUCUGCUCGUCCUUUUGGCCCUUCUUGCUCUCUCUCGUUCCCUCUCUCUUUCCCUCUCUCUCUGUCGCUCUCUUUCUCUCUCUCUUUCCCUCUCUCUUUGUCACUCUCUUUCUCUCGCGUCGCGCUCUCGAUCUGUCUCGCCAUCUCUAUCAGCCCGCAUCCAAGCGCAUGCAGUUCUUUCUGCUUCUGUUCGAGUCUCCGUCGCGCGUCGAGGAGGCUCAGGGCGGGGUCAGGAGGCCCUCGCCCCGGCGACGCGGCACACCGACAGGAGGUCCAAGCGUCAGGCAGGAGAGAAGACAAAGCGGAAGCGAAAGCACUCGGCGUCUCUCCGUCGUGCUUGUCUUUCUCCUGGAAUCCUUCCCCCGUUGCGGGUUUCUCGUUGUUUCCCUGACUCGCCCCGGUCGCCGUAGGAGCACAGCCAAAGAGGUUCUCCACUUCCAUGAGGAAACACGAGGCGGCAGAGGAUGCAGCCGCCGACAAACUGGAAGUCGACGCAGGAGCGCAAGAGGAAGAAAGAGAAGACGUAAACGAGGGAGAUGCAGAAACAGAAGCUGGAGCCGCGACAGCUGUAAAAGACGGAGGAGAGGAAAAGGCGGAGGCAGACUCAGAGGGACAAGGAGAGGGCGAAGUGGAAAGAGGGUAAAGAAGGCAAGCAUCUGAUGAGGCAGUCGAAACCGAUGAGAAGCGAUCUGUCGACGUGGUCCAGGAGGACGCGCCAUGGCCCGUCGUGAACGGUUCAGCCGAGGAGUGUGUCUCUUUUUGGGACGCGUCCGGUUGGUUCUCUCCCAAGCCGCAUUUUUGUUCUUCGCCCAGUAGAGAGGGAACCGGAAUCCCCGCAGGUUCUGAGAAAACGUCGAGCGGAGACGACGCGCGCUCGAUAGGGGCAACGCUCGACGUUGGGCGAGGAGACGAGGCUGGAGAUGGAGCGACGGCAGCACUCGUCAGUGGCAACGGAGCUGGAGAGAAACUGAGGAAGGCUUCUUCAGCUGUCGUCGUUUCACACGAGACACACGGUUUCGCAUACUUCUGCGCAGAUUUGCACUCUGUGAUGGAGGCGCGAAAGGGCUCAGGAGCCGCAAGCGGAAGACCGACAGCGGUAGCGAGAGUUGCGAGAGGCGCGAGCGCACAAGUCGCUGCGCGUUGCUGUGCGUCCUGCGCAGACACCCCGGUGCCGGGGACGGAGACCGAAGACGAGGAAGACACAGAGGCGACAUUGGCAAAAGACGCCUUGGCGAUCAACGCGUUGACGAGAGAAAGCGUGCGGCAGCAUGAGGGAAGCGAACAGGCCGCACAGACCGGCCCUGGAGGUCCUGGCAGUGAAACGGAAGAAGGGAACGAGCACGAGCAAGAGAGACCCGAAGACGCCCAGGACGAAGCUGAAGAAGAUAACACAUCGCCACGGGUAAGCGGGGAGGAAGUGCAAGGAGGGGACACAAGCGAAGGCGAGCAGCUAGAGAAGGAGUCUGGGCAUUCUGCUUUUCCCGGCGGCAAGGUCCUGUCCCGGUUUCCAACUUCACCCCGCACGUCGUCUUCAGUCUCCCGCGCAGGGCGAUGCCUGCGCGUAAAACGUCGGCUGUCUCCACUCUGGGCCGCUUCCGCGCCGUUCGGUUGUGCCCCGUGGCGACCGCCUCCGUUAUCUCCGUUUGGGCUCCGAAACUCUCGAGCUGUGGCCUGUCCCCGUUUCUGCUGAUGGCGUGACGGUGUUCGACUGAGGCUUUCGAGCCGAGACGCGCUUUCGGGCCGAGACGCACUUUCCGGUCUCGCCUCCGUUUCUGUUUCUGACGCUUCUCGGCCGACUUCGUCUCCCCGUGCCUCUUCUGCUUCUCCACCCUCAGCUGCUUUGCUUGGGCCUGCAGAGAGAGACGGGUGCUGGUUGUGCUUCGUCUCGGGGGGGGUUUUUCUAGCUUCGGAGCUGCGCGACCGAAGCGCUCUGCGCCUCCGUUUCUCGUUCCCAUGAUCUGUCUCGCCUGCAUUGUACAGGGGCAAGUGGCAUGGGGAAGGAGCGGCUUCGCGACCCGCCUUCCUGCUCGGAUGCAUUCGCGAGGUUGUCCCAGCUUUCUCGCGUUCUCCCGAAACCCUUAGUGUGGUCUCGCUGGUGCCCUGAGAGGCGCAGCUCCUCGGCGGCGAUGCCCGAUGCUUGCACGUGCGUUUUGCGUCCUCGCUUCGGGUGUAUAGACACUCUGCGUCGUCCGAGGUGGCCGUCAGUCCCUGCUCGUCGGAGGCUUCCUCCUGACUGCAGAUUUCGAUAUCGGAAAAAAACUCAAGGAACGACGAAGAGGGCGAGGAUAGGGGGCUCGCCAGAGAAGACGAGCUCCAGCUCGUAUGCUCUCCUUGAAAAGGCUCGUUGGCGUUCUCUCGCUUUCCGCAGGCCUCCAACUUAAGCGUGCCGGGAGUUUCGCAGGUUCCACCUCUUCCACUGCCUUCGUUUUUCUCCCGCUGCCUCCUCGUCUGUCGACUCUCUGUCGCUGCCGCAGAAGCAGAGGAAACAAAGGACACGGUUUUCCCUGUCGACGCAACGGGUCCAGGACAGGAAGACGAAUUCGAAAGAGGAGAGGAAGACGGACGCCAGACGGGUGAGGAAGGAGAAGAAGUCGGAUCGACUGGCCGAUCUAACGCGCAAGCGAAGCGCGGGUCUUUGGGAAGAUGUCGCAGCUCUCGGGCAAAAAAUGCGGAGAUUUCCUCCGGCGACAACAGCGGAGCAACGGCACCAGUCUCCAACGAAGGCGAAGGCAAGGCCGAUGGCGAGGAAGAGUUCGUCUCUUUGUGCGUUUGCUGAUCAGACGCCCGCGUGUCAACCGCCUCGCCAGCUUCGCCUCGCCACGGGGUGACUCCCUUCGAGGCCGGGAGGCCAGGCGAUGACAGAGGAGAAUGCCACGCAGCGAAUUCUCCCGGUUCAGUGUGGUCUGCCUCUUCUUGGCGCGCAGAGGGGGAAGAGAGAAAAGACGGCGAGAAGAACGCCAGCGAUGACGGCUCCUCGCAGACAGGGGUCGGGCCCGACCCGGGCGAGGCGGCGGGAAGGUCGAGACGCAAAGAAAAAGAAGAAAGCGACGGACGAAAGGUGGAAGCAGACGCAGGCGCAGAGGAAGAAGAAAGGAAAUGAGAGGGGGGCGGGGCCGCAGAGUGGGUUGCCGACGCCAAAGAAGACAGCUGAGGGCGAGACGGCAUAUCGGUGUCUGGGGGAAACGAAGAGGCGUUGAGGGGAACAGUGGUGGCAGAAGGCAAGGCGGUUGCAAACAUCUGGCUAGUUAAACCGUCCAUCGUGGAAGCACACCAGAACGGAGACGGUUCAGGAAUGCAGGAUGACGCCAUGGAAUCCCCAAGGGCGUUCGGGUUUCGCCGGGAUUCAAACGCCUCCGGUGUGCGUUCUUCUCUGCGACCAAAUGUUGGCGAACUCGGCUGUGGAGAAAGGGAGUCUGGGUCUUGAAACGCCGGCGCGACUGGAGGCGACCGUUUGGGUGAAUCUUCUCGUCGCUUUGGGUGUCUCCACACCCUGCCCGAUUCAUCGAGGUUUCCUUCUCUUCCUGUCUCUUCCUUCUCCGCAACUCCCUCACUGCCUUUGCUUCGGCGCUUCCCGCUCUCGACCAGCGCGGACCAGACGGUGAAGGCCGAGGGCGGUGACGAGCAGAAAAAAGACGAAGGACGGGACGCCCAAGACGCCGACGAAGAGCGAGAAGAAGCAGAAAACGAAGAAGACGAAAAAGAAGACGAAGAAGGGGAAGACGCCGACCGCUUGGCUCCUGUGGAAAGAGGCAUCUGUCGACCAUUGAACGGUGGCUGGUGUCGGGUCGGAGACAGGUCCGAGAAGCGGGGGAGGCCGGGGGACCACGUUGGAUGAGAUCUGAGGCUCUCUGCGUCGCUAGCUGAUGUUCUGCACGUUUCGCCUUCGCACGUUUCCCCGCGGGCUGUCCGAGGACGGGAUUUGUGUUCUUUCCUGCAUCUUCGCGCAGCGCCAAAUCGCCUCCUGCAACCUUGGCCUUCGACAGACAGGUGCGAAUCUCGCGAGCUUGUAGAAGACGAGACCGACAGGCGCGUCCGUCUCCUAGCUUCCUUUGACUCGACACCUCUCGCCGCAGCCGCUCUCUCAACAUCCUCGGAUGACGCUGUCUCUGGCGUCUCCGUUCUGCGCCUGGGGCUGCCGUUCUCUUCAUGCCUCUCACAGGAGGGGGAAUGGGACACGCGACCGUCCUGCCUUCUCUGUCUCCUUUCUCCUCCUUUUUCUCUCUGGCGGCAGAGUCGAGGCUCCUCGCUUUGGUCCUCCUUUCUUGCUCUUUUCUCUCGCGGAGACGACACCCAGCAGGGCGACCCUAGCCCGUUCAUCUCUUCAGCCCCCCUAGCCGUCCACGCUUCACUUGCGUAUCUGCUUUCGCUUCCCUGCACGAACUUGCCGGCGGGUUCCUCUUUCUUUCUUCUACUUCUCGCCUCAGUCGAGGACACACGUUCUUCGCCUGCACCCAUUCUCUCCCUUCUCGCGCUCGCCAGUCUUGCUCUACGGUCGCCUCUCCUCUGCUGUCUCGUUUUCUCUUCCAGUGAUCUCUGACGGGCGCCGGGUUCUGAGACGUCAGAAUCGCCUACCUCUCCCGCUCGGCUGUUUGUUCGGCGGAGAGGCGACAGGGAGCCCGGUUCAAACUCCCGAGCGUUUCGUCUCCCUCCCCGCGUCUUCGCCUGCGUGCUCCUCUGCGAUUCAUCUGAAGCCGAGGCUUCGAAAUCGUCUCGCGAACGCGUCGCCCAUCUGUUCUGGCGGCACCUGAGCUUACCGCUUGUCGCCCCGCGUGUGUUCUUACUUUCCUUCUUCGGGUACUUUGCAGAAGAGGACAAAGAAUCCGAACGGGACAGGGCGUCUCUUCCCGGCGCGUCGCUCUCCGUGCUCAACGACUCCCGGGGGGGUUCAAUGGGACGACUGUCGUUGCUUGUUCGCCGUGACGUGUGGCAGUUGCCGCCGACGUCUGUGUCGCGUUUGUCUCUGCUAUGGAGGGUUUCUCUUCCUGGAAUUCUCUUUCCGAUGGGUGGUGGUGAUGUCUGAACUGGAAGCGGAACUUGUGGUGAUGGUGGCUGUCGACCGUUCCCGCGCUCCGAGGUUACCUGUCGGCCGGUAACGCGCGGUUGUGCUGCCUGGUCGUGUGCGGCAAGCGUGACAGAGAAAAGGCGCUCCGCUUUUUGUCGAGGGGUGGCAAUUCGCCCACCUGAAGAGUCGCUUCGCACCUCCACGCUUUGGAUUGCAAAGCACGGGCCUUGCCCAGAACCUACCUCUCCCGUUGACGCCGUGGCAGCCGUCGAGCACCUGGUUCUUUCCCCAGAUCGGGAUUCGCCGCGUCCUCCGGCAUGGUCCGUUUCUCUUGUGGCCCAAACGGUCGGCGACAAAAGAGCGUUUCUGCAGCUUUCUCUGGCACCAGCAUCUGGGAGCGGGGACGUCUGGUGGGAGUGAACAUCUGUGCGACGAACUUCAGACACAUGCCCCACCGUUCUGCUCGUUGUGUCUUCUCGGAGACAGCGCGGAGACAGUUUUCUGGAGCAACGUGCUGUCGCUGCCGCAGUCGCGACCGCGACUUCUGCCGCGGCUGCAGCCGAGGCCUUUGCUUUGUCAGCCGCCGCCUUGGCAGAUGCAGUGCAAAUCAUCGAUCUGACCUGGCUGGGGAAGCCUUCUUCCGGCCCUCGCCGGGGGUGAAGUGCACGAGAGCCUUGAGGACCGUUUUCGUCAGACCUGUGAGAAGCGGCAUUCGCACUCGGUAGAAAAGGGGCGUUCCCGCUCCGCGUUCGGGAAGCGGAAGGAAUCGAAUCCAGGCGCUUCGACCGUGCUGGAGGCGCGUCAAGAGGAGACACGGAGACGAUCUCUCGGGCCUGGCGAGGUGCCGAUGCCGUUCCGGCGAUGCCAGCGGUGUGAAAAGAGGGACAUACCGGCCUAGCGUGGCCGUGGGCGAUAUCCGGAAGUCGGCAGGUGCGGGGGGAUGCCUGCACAGGCCGAGGAGACGCUGAAGAGUAUGGAGACUGAGCGAAGAGUCGGGGUCGGGGGGUUUGGGGCGGAGGAAGGUGAACGAACGGGGAGUUGGAAGAUCCAGACGCGCAGGCUGCAACCGGUCGCCUCGCCUCCUCGGAGAUCGCCUUUCUGCGGCCAAUCUCCAAGAGCGUUCGCGCCGGGUUUCUGCAUCGUUGCCAAGCGCCAUCUCGGCUCGAGAGCACUGCUGCUUGACCGCCUCCCGGCAAAGGUGGGUAGGGAAACCUCUGCGGACUUCCCCAGUUGCCCCGCAAACUUUCGCGCCGCACGACAGCCACAAAGCUCUGUUGGUGGCCGUCAGGGGACUCGUCCACAGAACUGUGAACCGCCGUCCGCGCCGGUAACGGAUGAAGUUCUCGUGGGGAGUGAGAGGUCGACACCCACCGAGAGGCGCUCGACGGCGCGGAGGCGCUUGCCCGCGACCCCACCGUGGCCCGAGGUGUCGGAGCACUGCGGCAAUCCGUGUUUGUCUGUUGAGAGGCCAAGGGAGUCCCAUGUGCCUGGUCGACUGUUUCGUUCCCCUCACGGACGGAGGGGCAGUGUGCAGAAGGUUGGGAACACCGCGGAGGAUCCCACGCAGAAUGCGGCAGGCUCUCGGGAGCGGCGCAGUUUCCUGGCCCAAAUAACUCUGAUAACUCUUCACCGUCAUCGGUGAAGAGAUCCCCAAUUGACACUGGAGCUGGCAGACGCACCUCAUGAACGGAUGGGCUGGUCAGAGGGUUUGCCGUGUUGCGCGGAAUUGACGCGACUGAGAUGGGAGGGGGUGCGUUUUGCGCGGUGAGCAAUCUCCCGGUGUUUCCCAGCGGCACGUGUGUCAGCGCAGACGGCGGAAGAGAAAGAAAGCGCGAGGAACUCCGCCGUUCGUGUCCGAGCAGCGGCGUCCGGCUUCCUGUUGCCGGAGAGGCAUCACGGCUGAUUGCCCGCAGCUCUCCGGCUGAGGCAGCUGAGGGAAGCGGGAAGGCUUUGCCGGGAAGACGAAACACCUGUGUGAACCCAGGUGUCGUGGUUUCCCUUCGAAAGCAACAGGGAGAACGGCCUCGAGCCAUCGAGAACAGAGAGGCAUACGCAAUUGAGGCACUUGUGAGCUUCCUCGUGCAUGGAUACGUUGGGGAGCGAAGGGCUUACAACGUUGUGAGAAACGGCCAACGCCUUAUAUAGGCAGACUCGAAUGUAGGUACCAGGUUGGGGGGGGAAGGGGGGGGGGGUACAGGGUUCUAUGCCUACGAUUGCAAGACAACUUGUGUCGAGAGGAAAGAACGUUUGCAUUUGGCAAACACGUACGGAGGAACUGGGUGUGUUUCAACCAACAUUUCCUCUACCGACUGUGUGUGCGUUGAACACGGACACGAACAUCAGUGCGCGCUACCAAGACGUGCGACGGCUAUUCUCUUGAUAAUACCGCGGAGUUCUCUCCCACGAACACGGCGCCGCGCCCGCAGGAAAAAGCACUUUGUUUCGAGAUUCAACUGGUAUCGCUGGUCCACCCGCGUCUCGUGCAGCGAUAACGGGGGCUGGCGCUCUGCCCUCUCUGGCGUGACUACGGGAGCGCGAAAGGCGUUCUGCGACCAGGAAAAGGUUAUACUAGACUGGCAAACAGCAAGAACCUGAGGAAGCGGUCGCCCUCCGUUUUCGCAAGUUUUCUUCGGCUCUCCAAUUUAACCAGGAUAGGUCUUCUCUAGAUUCCGAGUGUCAUAGUGCAUUUUCGUGAGAGAGGCAAGAAAAAGCGAGAGGCAAUAGGUUUCAGGAAUGAAUCCAUCUGACAUGACAGGUGAGGACGCACCAGACAAAUCAAGCGGCGUGCGGGCAACCCCCAGCAUGACAGGAGCUUGCGCUGUUAUCUUCUUCCCCAACACUUUGUUUCGAAGGGGCUACGAACGUCUCGUUCUAUGUUCCCCUUAUCAGGCAAAUUUCCGAGGACCUGCCAGGGUGAUUGGGGCCAGGCACAGAAAAGAGAAGAGGAUUUGCGUGGCGCUCAGGAUAGUAAGCGAUGCCUGUGCUGUAACUCCUAGCCGCGGAACCAGUAGCGCUAUCUCUCCUAUUUUCGGGGUCCGCCAACAUGGUGUGCGAACUUGGACGUCAAGGAGGUUCCCCUCAAAUACCUUUUCGACUGCAACGUGUAACUGGAAAAUCGGUUAGUCAGGUAACUCCGCAUCCUCUGUAAACAACUCCGUCGUCUCCUGGUUUUCAGGGGAACCUGCCCCGUUUUUGCUCAAGAGAUCUGCCGUAUCCAGCCCUCAGAAAACGUCUCCCGGCAGGAAGUGACAACGCGACGCUCUGUCGACUGAAGAGGCCCCACAAAAGCUGCCGUGAAAAGACGACCUCCCUCCUCCCGAAAUCUGCUGCAAUUGCGUCGGUCGGCGUUUCCUGAUACGGGGUUUGGAUCUCUCUUUCGAAGGGAAGUCUAAAAGUUUUAGAGACGGACCAGCCGCUAAAGGCCGCGUAAAAAUGGACGUUGUACGCUACCGUGUACGCGUGUCUAUUGAGAGGGUGCGACAGACACGGAGGCGCCCUGGUUUUCCUCCCCGAAGACUCUAAAUGGAGGUGUACGAACAGGAUCCGAAAACGUGAUCCUACAUUUCUUCUUGGUUUGUAAAUGACAGACGCAUCCGCAGUGAAUCGCCGUACGGAGCAUCUGUGAGCGCACGGGAGAAACUCGCGAUCCUCUCUCUCGAUGAAAAGACAACAACUUACACGAACCUGUUCGCGCCGACUGCGGCGAAAUGUUCGACAAAGAAGGUCACAUGCAUUCCAACAAGGCAUGGAGUUUGCACGGUGAACACCUCUUGCGCACAUCGUCUCUGCAAAUUUAUUCCCGUUUUUACGCCUCUUCAUCGUAUUCGCACGCUUCUCCUCGCAUCGCGAGACUAUCGGACAACCGCUAAAUUGCAGUAGCGGGCACUACAGAAAAUGGCAACUGCUGGAAGAAAGCACAACCGAAACUGUCACCGUAAAAUAUUCGGUACAAAUCUACAUCCUAAUAUGAGGAAACGCAUGAGAAGGCUUCCACACAUACAACGUACAUGUCCAUUCUUAGGCGGUAAUCCUGUCCCAGAUACUAUCAGUCCCGGGACAACCGUACCGACCAUAAUAGCACCUGACGUUUUCUCUCGCUGGCUGAAGACGCCCCCCAUCACCUGAGUACCCCUGCGUAGUUCCCAGUACUACCGCAGCAUCAAAGCAUGAACCUAAGAGCGGUGGGAAGUGUGAACGGGUUUAUCCACGUCUGUUUUCCUUUGUGUGUGUACCAAGGCCCCAGGAGAAUCGACAACGCUCGAGCCCGCUUCCGCGGCUCGCAACUCUCAGAACCC